UAAACACGCUAGGGUUCUGGGGAAGAGCAAAUCGAAAUCUCCGAAGUUGAGACGAUGAAGAGGCUAUUUCAUUUUUCCUUCUUCUGCAAAACCGUGUUUUCCACUCGUUCUCCUCGCUCGCACGAUGCUGCCCUCCUCUUUGCCGUCUUACCUUACUCGGCCUCCGCCCCCGCCGCCGGCGCCGCAUCCGCCACUGUUGAGCGCAUGUUCAUGGCCCAAUACCUCGUCGACGCAUGUGGCUUCGACCAGGAGAAGGCCACCGAGGCCUCGAAGCUUCUCAAGGGCAUCCAAUCCCGGCAGCAGCCCGACUCCGUCCUUGCUUUCCUCAAAAGUUACGGCUUCGAUGACGCAUCAGUAAAAAGGCUCCUACUUUACUUCCCCAAAUGUCUUCUUUUGGACGUAGAGAAGACACUUGCCCCAAAGUUCCGAGCUUUCGAAGAUCUGGGUUUCUCCCCAUCCGACAUCGUCGACCUCGUCUGGUCGAAUCCCUCCACCGUCCAAGUCAAACAUGAACGCACUGUGCCUAAGAUCGAAUUUUGGCAAGGCCUUCUCGGGUCCAAGGAUGCGCUGGUGAAGUUGUUCAAGAGAAACCGAGCGAUUCUUUCGUACAGUAUCGAGAAGAAGAUCCAGCCCAACCUUGAGUUGCUCCGGGAAUGCGGCUUGGACGGCCCAAAGCUUACCUCUGUGUUGUGGUGCUGCCCACAGAUCGCGGCACAGAAUGCUGAUUUCUUGAAGACCUUGAUCAGUCGCGCGGAGGACUUGGGAGUGCCACAGACAUCGGGGAUGUUCCAUAUUACUCUGCGUGCACUCAUCAAGGUCAGUCGAGAGAAAUUCAAGAUGCAAAUGGAAUUGUUCAGGAGCUUCGGAUGGUCAAAAGAUGAUUUUGUUGUGGCAUUCCAAAAAUGUCCUUCCUUCACAGGAAUGUCUUUGAAUGCUUCUCAGAGAAAAAUGGAGUUCUUGAUCAAUGAGGUUGGAUAUGCUUCGUCAUACAUUGCUAUACAUCCAACACUAUUGGUAUUGAGCUUGGAGAAAAGGUUGAUUCCGAGACAUCAGAUCUUGGCAAUCUUGAAGUCCAGGGGGCACUGUGAAAAUGAUUACAAAGUUGCAACAUUCAUGUUGAUUUCAGAGGCCAAAUUCAUAGAGAAGUACAUUAUGGUCUACAAGGACAGGUAUCCAGAUCUGAGUGAACUCUAUGCAAAGCUUAAACCACUCUAAUGCUUCUGAUUCUGGACUUCAAUGAGUCGCUAAGAUUGACGUUGUAACAUGGACUGAUUUCAAGCAAAGCAAAGAAGUGAAGAAAAUAGAUGGUGCCUAAGAGCUAAAAUCGACUCGUUCUGCUCCGGUAAAUGACCCACUCGUCAUGGGUCAAUCUGUCUGACGUCUCUAUAAAAGAUGCCUCACUUGUUCAUGGAGGAUGUGACACUUCUAACCACAUGCGGACGAGAAGAUUCCCAACUCUAAUGCAACGCUACCUUGCCAUGUCAGCAUGAUAUCUCAUGAUUGGUUGACGAGAAAUUCUACCAUGGGGCGAGAGGCAUUUGUUGUGAAGACACACAUAUAUUGGCACUCUACUUAGCUCUACCACUACUUUAGAGCCAGGAUAACGACUAGGGUGUGGAGGACAAGACAUAGGAGUCUACCUCCACUAGUUGGUCAGGCACCCAUUAGACACUUGGUAACUAUGGUGGUGCAAGAGAUCACUACAUAUUAGCGGUAGCUAUGGACACAAUAGGCGACUAGAGGACAUUGACGGCAGAGGUUGGUCCGCCGCCUUGUCAUCCGUGAUUCAUUGUGAAUGACAGACUGGGGUCAUAGCCCAGUCUUAGCAUGUUUGAAGUGACCACUUUAGAUGGAG